AUGCGGCGGCAGCUGCCUGCCGAGGAUCUUGCACUCAAACGGCUGCAGGACCGAGAUGUCGACGAGCUCGUCCGCGGACGCAAUCGCCUCGUGCCGUCCUUGCCUGUAGAGGUGCUCGAUGCACAGCAAGGCGAACGCACCAAAGCCGUGGAAGAUGUAGCAGGGCACGCCGAGGUUUCGUGUCAUGGGCAGCGUCCACGUGUGGCACAUCCCGGAGACGAUGCAGCUCGGCCGGCGUGGCGCGUCCCGAAGGCAGUACUGCUCCACCGCCUCGCCGAACUUCUUGUUGGCCUCGAAGAAGCCAGGCACCAUGGCGGGGGACGUGAUCAGGUCCAACCUCUCGCACCCCUCCGGCAGGCCGGCUUCGGCGGCCGGGAAGGGGAUCGUGGUGACCGCGAGCACCGCGCCGUCCAGGGUGACACGGUCGACGCGGCUCUGGACAAGCGACGCGUUGGCGGGCGUCGUGAUGAUGGCGACCGACGCUCCAUGGGAGGCGAGAAGGCAGCCGAUGUCCGUCAUGGGGACGAUGUGGCUGAUGCUUCCUAUCCAUGGGACGAGCACAAAGUGAGGCUUUCUGGCGGUCUCCAUUGCCUGUUACUGUGCUGCACUAUGGUGUCCACAAAUUCGACAAAGUUGGGUAUGACUGAAAAUUAUGAGAUGGGAAAUAUGGCUCUUAGUUUGUGUGUGACGAACUGCUGGGUAGGAUCUUGUUAUAUAUGCAGGUUUAUGGGCUGCGACCGGGUGUGCGUGCAUGGUACGAGGCCGUGUCGACACAUUGCUGCGCAGUGCGCACACAGAGGACGAAAAAAAAUUAGAGUGUGGUGA
rnacentral:rRNA from 1 species